UCGGGAAUUUUGCGCAAUGGGCGAAAGCCUGACGCAGCAACGCCGCGUGAGGGAUGAAGGCCUUCGGGUUGUAAACCUCUUUUCUCAGGGACGAUGAUGACGGUACCUGAGGAAUAAGCCACGGCUAACUACGUGCCAGCAGCCGCGGUAAUACGUAGGUGGCGAGCGUUGUCCGGAUUUACUGGGCGUAAAGAGCGCGCAGGCGGUCGGUCAAGUCGAGUGUGAAAGCCCCCGGCUCAACUGGGGAGGGUCAUUCGAUACUGAUCGACUCGAAGGCAGGAGAGGGAAGUGGAAUUCCCGGUGUAGUGGUGAAAUGCGUAGAUAUCGGGACGAACACCAGUGGCGAAGGCGACUUCCUGGCCUGUUCUUGACGCUGAGGCGCGAAAGCUAGGGGAGCAAACGGGAUUAGAUACCCCGGUAGUCCUAGCCGUAAACGAUGGACACUAGGUGUUGGUGGUAUCAACCCCGCAGUGCCGAAGCUAACGCAUUAAGUGUCCCGCCUGGGGAUACGGCCG
rnacentral:rRNA from 1 species